CCAUCCGCUUCCCUAUUUCUGGCAAGCAUAAGAUUUACAAACUGGACCCAGGAAUCCAUCAGGCAGCACAAAAGGCAAUGAAACGAUUAGCUAUGAUAAAGUCUGAAAAGAACAGUCAGUCAUUCCUAAGAAACAGUUAAAGUCCUUUAUGGAAAUUGUAUCUUGUUUUGUGAUCAAUAAAGUUUAUAUUUGUUUUCAUGACA